UCUUGCAGUCGAUGAAACCCGAGUGAAAUUGUCUGUCAUCAACAAUGAUCCCUUCAGUGACUACAUCAACGCCAACCACGUUUAUGGCUUCGGUGGGAACCUGAGGUACAUUGCAUCCCAAGGACCCAAGGACGCCAACGUCAACACCAUCGGCGAUUUCUGGCGCAUGGUGUACGAACAGCAGAUGGACAUCAUCAUCAUGGUUGCCAAUUUCAUCGAGGGAGGAAGGGUCAAGGUCGGGGAGUACUUUCAGCGUGGAGCUACUCUGGAGUUUGACGGCUACGUCGUGUCUGCUAUCAAAAGCGAACAGCACCCACACUACAUUGUAUCUACUAUACAGGUCUGGAAGGGUAACAUUUGCCAUACCCUCUCUUUCUUU